UUGUCUGUGCUACUGACUUACAAAUCUGCAAGAAAUGUGCAAGGUUUAUAGUAUUGGCAAACAUCCUUCCGCCUGUAUGGAGCAUCCUUGGUCUCAAAAAGUCUUACAGAGAAGCAAAUUUGGCUGUUCAUCCUGUCUGACACCAAAGUUCUCAUUUAGCCAAGCUAUAUAUAUACCCGGUACUUCUCAUCUUUCCGCGUAGACACUUUCUUCUGACCCUCACAGCAGUGACCUUUCAGCCCUCAUGAAAAGAAGAAUUUGAACUCUGAUGCUGGCAGUCAUACAAAGAUAAUUUAUUCCAACCUGAAAAGCUCUUCAAAUGUUCCCAUCUCCCAUCAAGGAGCUCACCCAGAAGGUGGGGUGUGUAUCACAGUCAGAGACACAGCUCCCUGUCAAGAUCCUGGAAAUUUCCGUUUCUGUUCCACCUCAUUCCCAUCACCAGCUUUCUUUGACUUUAAUGUCAGAGCUUUCAAUAUCACUGAUGACAUUCAUGCUAAUAUAUAUAUAUAAAAAAAACAACAACAACAUGUCAAA